rnacentral:rRNA from 1 species
UGGGGAAUAUUGGACAAUGGGGGCAACCCUGAUCCAGCAAUGCCGCGUGUGUGAAGAAGGUCUUCGGAUUGUAAAGCACUUUCGACGGGGACGAUGAUGACGGUACCCGUAGAAGAAGCCCCGGCUAACUUCGUGCCAGCAGCCGCGGUAAUACGAAGGGGGCUAGCGUUGCUCGGAAUGACUGGGCGUAAAGGGCGUGUAGGCGGUUUACACAGUCGGAUGUGAAAUCCCCGGGCUUAACCUGGGAGCUGCAUUUGAUACGUGUAGACUAGAGUGUGAGAGAGGGUUGUGGAAUUCCCAGUGUAGAGGUGAAAUUCGUAGAUAUUGGGAAGAACACCGGUGGCGAAGGCGGCAACCUGGCUCAUGACUGACGCUGAGGCGCGAAAAGCGUGGGGAGCAAACAGGAUUAGAUACCCUGGUAGUCCACGCUGUAAACGAUGUGUGCUAGAUGUUGGGUAACUUUGUUAUUCAGUGUCGCAGUUAACGCGUUAAGCACACCGC